UUUUGAACAGUUUUUUUCUUCCGUGUUUUCCAUCCCACGUUGUUAUCUAAAAGAAACUACUCUUCUCAAAUCUCAAACUCCCAAUCUAUUGCCUAAAUCUAUCGUUGUUUAAUUAUGUGAUGAGCAUGGACGAUUUUCAUUCGGAAGGUGCUGCGGCGCCACCGUUAGAAGAAGACGACGAUGAGGAUAUUUAAACCAGAAACUCUUUCACUGAAAUCUCAAGCAAGAUGACGAAAGCCAUCGAUGAGGAUGAAGGGGAAGGUUCUCUGUAGCCAUGGCUUGAGUCUACAACCGUUCGAGAACGCCUGGAUGCUUAUUUUGUUUGUUCACAAAAUCAGUGGUGUUGGAAUAUAGCUUGUCGUUAUCAGCAACGACGGACAAGUCUCAACCCUCAGGUUUGCAUAAUUAGGGUUGUAUAGAAGUAUCUUAUCUAUCAGUUUUUCUUGAUGUUGGUGUGUAGUAUAUGGAGGAUUUCAAGAGUAUUAUCGACAUUGCAAGAAGUUCAAGUAUUAAGUCAACCUAAUCUUGAAAGCCACGUGACCGUCGGAUCAUGCUGAAAGGAUAUUCGUCAGUUGCACAGAACUCAGAAAGGUAAAAAAGUGGCGGUGGGCUAGCAUAACCGGCUUGACGUGUACAAUAGGAAUUACCAUAGUUUAGUACUUCUGAGACUUGGGCUACAAUGCAAGUAUGAAGAUAGACUCUACCUCACGCUGUGCAGUGACUUGAAGGUUAAUUAAGAAGAAAUAUGGACAGGACACAACAAAUGUUGGGGAUGAAGGUGGAUUUGCUCCUUAGAUUGUUUAAAAAGCGCAUGGUUAUGGUCACAUCACUAGCGUCGAACCCUUCUCUUGAUUUGGUGAUUAUGCUACUGGUUGGGUUCUUUCUAAUUCAGUUUUUCCGCUAUUACUGCUGUAAAAAGGUAAAGAUUUUCUUUACAAUCAUUGUGUUAUAAGAUUGGGGUACACUUUAUAUGUGAUGGAAUUGAAGAGCAUACUCAGUUGCAAAGGGCUGGGAAAUUUGUGAAGAGUAAGAACAGUGAGGCGAUGGUAAAGGUAUCUUCAAACACACAAGGUGAACAUGGAACAAGGUCCUAUUCGAGGCCGAGGAGGAUGAUCCAGAGGCCAAAACGAUUUAAUAGGUGCAAGUUUGAAUUUUAUGAAACAUACCAAACAUUCUGUACAUUUUUAGUAAUGCUAGCUUUUUAUUGUCU
rnacentral:lncRNA from 1 species